AAGCAGCCGCGGGAAUACGGAGGGUGCAAGCGUUAAUCCGAAUUACUGGGCGUAAAGCGCACGCAGGCGGUCUGACAAGUCAGAUGUGAAAUCCCCGGGCUUAACCUGGGAACUGCAUUUGAAACUGUCAGGCUGGAGUCUUGUAGAGGGGGGUGGAAUUCCAGGUGUAGCGGUGAAAUGCGUAGAGAUCUGGAGGAAUACCGGUGGCGAAGGCGGCCCCCUGGACAAAGACUGACGCUCAGGUGCGAAAGCGUGGGGAGCAAACAGGAUUAGAGACCCCUGUAGUCCCUGUCUCUUAUAC
rnacentral:rRNA from 1 species